rnacentral:siRNA from 1 species
UCGAACUAUUCUCAGAUUUGCUCA